rnacentral:rRNA from 1 species
UACGUAGGUGGCAAGCGUUGUCCGGAAUUACUGGGUGUAAAGGGCGUGUAGACGGGGAUGCAAGUCAGAUGUGAAAUUCCAGGGCUCAACUCUGGCGCUGCAUCUGAAACUGUGUCUCUUGAGUGCUGGAGAGGAAAGCGGAAUUCCUAGUGUAGCGGUGAAAUGCGUAGAUAUUAGGAGGAACACCAGUGGCGAAGGCGGCUUUCUGGACAGUAACUGACGUUGAGGCGCGAAAGCGUGGGGAGCAAACAGG